GGAGUGUGCCGGGUGAUCGCGGGCCUCCCUCCGCCGAAGCAAGCUACGGCCCGCGAAGGCGGGGACGGAAGCGUCCGAGGAAAGUCCGGACUCCACAGGGCAGGGUGCUGGCUAACGGCCAGGCGGGGCGACCCGACGGAAAGUGCCACAGAAAACACACAGCUCCGCUCGCGCUUCAGCCAAGGGCGGCCUCGGCCGCCGAAGCUCUAGCGAAGGCGGGGUAAAGGUGAAAAGGUGCGGUAAGAGCGCACCAGCAGCGUGGUGACACGCUGGCUUGGCAAACCCCACCCGGAGCAAGGCCAAAUAGGAGGCCCAUGCCGUGACCCGCGGCGGCCUCGGGUUGGCCGCUCGAGCGUCCGGGCAACCGGCCGCCCAGAUAGAUGAUCACCCGCGACAGAAUCCGGCUUACAGGCACACUCCCCCU
rnacentral:RNase_P_RNA from 2 species